rnacentral:rRNA from 1 species
UACAGAGGUCCCGAGCGUUGUUCGGAUUCACUGGGCGUAAAGGGUGCGUAGGCGGCGCGGUAAGUCGGGUGUGAAAAUCUCGGAGCUUAACUCCGAAACUGCAUUCGAUACUGCCGUGCUUGAGGACUGGAGAGGAGACUGGAAUUUACGGUGUAGCGGUGAAAUGCGCAGAUAUCGAGAGGAACACCCUGCGGCGAAGGCGGGGUUGCUGGGCUGACACUGACGCUGAUGCGCGAAAGCCAGGGGAGCGAACGGG